rnacentral:rRNA from 1 species
GAUGAACGCUGGCGGCGUGCCUAAUACAUGCAAGUCGAGCGAACGGACGAGAAGCUUGCUUCUCUGAUGUUAGCGGCGGACGGGUGAGUAACACGUGGAUAACCUACCUAUAAGACUGGGAUAACUUCGGGAAACCGGAGCUAAUACCGGAUGAUAUUUUGAACCGCAUGGUUCAAAAGUGAAAGACGGUCUUGCUGUCACUUAUAGAUGGAUCCGCGCUGCAUUAGCUAGUUGGUAAGGUAACGGCUUACCAAGGCGACGAUGCAUAGCCGACCUGAGAGGAUGAUCAGCAACACUGGACCGGAGACACGGGCCAGAGGCCUACGGGAGGCAGAAGUGGGGAAGAUUGGAGAAGGGGCGAAAGCCUGAACAAGCUGUGCAGCGUGUGUGAAGAAGGGCUACGGAUGGUAAAGCACUGUAAGUUAGGAGGAAGGGAAGUAAGUUAAUACCUUGAGGUUUUGACGUGACCAAAAGAAUAAGCAACGGCUAACUUCGUG